CGAACCGUACGAACGUUAUUCGGAAUUACUGGGCUUAAAGGGUUUUGUAGGCGGCCUUAUAAGUCAGGUGUGAAAGCCCUCGGCUCAACCGAGGAAUAGCGCUUGAUACUGUAAGGCUUGAGGGAGACAGGGGGUAAGCGGAACUGAUGGUGGAGCGGUGAAAUGCGUUGAUAUCAUCAGGAACACCGGUGGCGAAAAGCGGCUUACUGGGUCUCUUCUGACGCUGAGGAACGAAAGCUAGGGUAGCGAACGGGAUU
rnacentral:rRNA from 1 species